rnacentral:rRNA from 1 species
GACGAACGCUGGCGGCGUGCUUAACACAUGCAAGUCGAACGGAGCGGCGAACGGGUGAGUAACGCGUGAGUAACUGCCCCCCUCUCUGGGAUAACAGGUGGAAACGGCUGCUAAUACCGGAUAGUGGGGGAUGACUCGCGUCCUAUCAGAUUGUUGGGGGGGGAGUGGCCUACCAAGGCGACGACGGGUAGCCAGCCUGAGAGUGCGACCGGCCACAUUGGGCUGAGGUACGGCCCAAACUGCUACUGGAGGCAGGAGUGGAGAUUAUUGCACAAUGGGGGAAACGCUGAUGCACCACCGUCGCGUGCGGGAGGACGGCUUUCGGGUUGUAAACCGCUUUCAGCCAUGACGCGGUAGUGGCAGAAGAAGCACCGGCUAACUACGUGCCAGCAGCCGCGGUAAUUC